GUAUGCAAGGGCGAUCUGGCUGCAACAUCUGUCACCCCAUUGAUUUGCCAGGGUUGAUUUGGCUGAUCUGGCUGGCUAAGUGGGUGUCCCCUUCCUUCCUCAAUGCUCCAUGUGUGUCCCUCCGGAAGCUGCACAUUUGGUGGAAGAGGAAGGCCUUCCAGGAACAGAGACGAACCGGUCUUCUGUCGAGGGUGUAGGAGUAACUGUGCUCCCCUGCUAGAACCUUCAAACAAGCUCUCAAGAAAAAAGUAGCAUUUAAGGAGUUAAAUUUUAAAACUCUAUUAGUCUUAUUUGUUGUGAUUUUUU
ensembl:misc_RNA 7SK 7SK RNA